CAGUGUGACACUCAGCCACAAAGAGGUUGUCUCUGAUGUCCACACAUAAACCCCAUGGAGCGUGUAAAUCACAGUGAAUGUAACGGAGGAACUGUCCGUCCUGAUCUAGGAUGUGGAUACGGUGAUUGUAACGGUCUGCUGUCAGGAUGUGACUCUGGCUGUCUGUAGUGAUGCCGAAUGGUUUAAAUGAUUGCUUGGUAUUAGAGGGAUGACCAGUGUAUCUAAAUCGGAGUUUUCCUGACUGAUUGACCACCACUACUGCACUAGCUUCAAAGUCAGCCACACAGAUAUCCAGGUUCUUGUUCUCACUGAUGUAUUUAAUGAUAUAACCACCAGAUUUAUAGAGAGGACGACCCUGAUCAUCAAACUGAAUGCUUUGUGUCUCUGUGGAGCCGGAGUAACGCACGACUUUGCAUUGUUCUCCAUCAUCACUGUCCAUGGUAACCAGGAGAUUGUUAUCCGCGGUACAGCAGACAAAGAGAGGUCUCCACCCCUGUAGUCUGAUCACGGAAUCCUGAUUUUGGGAUGAAUGUCUCCUGAGUGUUACGUGACAAAACCCUCACCCUACAUACCAGUACACAAAGAACGGGAGAAACCUCUAACAUUAUAGAAUCAUUGAAAUAAAGAAUAAUUCCCAGACUA